rnacentral:rRNA from 1 species
AGAGUUUGAUCCUGGCUCAGGAUGAACGCUAGCUACAGGCUUAACACAUGCAAGUCGAGGGGCAGCAUGGUCUUAGCUUGCUAAGGCCGAUGGCGACCGGCGCACGGGUGAGUAACACGUAUCCAACCUGCCGUCUACUCUUGGACAGCCUUCUGAAAGGAAGAUUAAUACAAGAUGGCAUCAUGAGUCCGCAUGUUCACAUGAUUAAAGGUAUUCCGGUAGACGAUGGGGAUGCGUUCCAUUAGAUAGUAGGCGGGGUAACGGCCCACCUAGUCUUCGAUGGAUAGGGGUUCUGAGAGGAAGGUCCCCCACAUUGGAACUGAGACACGGUCCAAACUCCUACGGGAGGCAGCAGUGAGGAAUAUUGGUCAAUGGGCGAGAGCCUGAACCAGCCAAGUAGCGUGAAGGAUGACUGCCCUAUGGGUUGUAAACUUCUUUUAUAUGGGAAUAAAGUUUUCCACGUGUGGAAUUUUGUAUGUACCAUAUGAAUAAGGAUCGGCUAACUCCGUGCCAGCAGCCGCGGUAAUACGGAGGAUCCGAGCGUUAUCCGGAUUUAUUGGGUUUAAAGGGAGCGUAGGUGGAUAGUUAAGUCAGUUGUGAAAGUUUGCGGCUCAACCGUAAAAUUGCAGUUGAUACUGGCUGUCUUGAGUACAGUAGAGGUGGGCGGAAUUCGUGGUGUAGCGGUGAAAUGCUUAGAUAUCACGAAGAACUCCGAUUGCGAAGGCAGCUCACUGGACUGCAACUGACACUGAUGCUCGAAAGUGUGGGUAUCAAACAGGAUUAGAUACCCUGGUAGUCCACACAGUAAACGAUGAAUACUCGCUGUUUGCGAUAUACAGUAAGCGGCCAAGCGAAAGCAUUAAGUAUUCCACCUGGGGAGUACGCCGGCAACGGUGAAACUCAAAGGAAUUGACGGGGGCCCGCACAAGCGGAGGAACAUGUGGUUUAAUUCGAUGAUACGCGAGGAACCUUACCCGGGCUUAAAUUGCAGAUGAAUUACGGUGAAAGCCGUAAGCCGCAAGGCAUCUGUGAAGGUGCUGCAUGGUUGUCGUCAGCUCGUGCCGUGAGGUGUCGGCUUAAGUGCCAUAACGAGCGCAACCCUUAUCUUUAGUUACUAACAGGUCAUGCUGAGGACUCUAGAGAGACUGCCGUCGUAAGAUGUGAGGAAGGUGGGGAUGACGUCAAAUCAGCACGGCCCUUACGUCCGGGGCUACACACGUGUUACAAUGGGGGGUACAGAAGGCAGCUACCUGGUGACAGGAUGCUAAUCCCAAAAACCUCUCUCAGUUCGGAUCGAAGUCUGCAACCCGACUUCGUGAAGCUGGAUUCGCUAGUAAUCGCGCAUCAGCCA